GACGAACGCUGGCGGCGUGCUUAACACAUGCAAGUCGAACGGAAAGGCCCUUCUUUUGUGGGGUGCUCGAGUGGCGAACGGGUGAGUAACACGUGAGUAACCUGCCCUUGACUUUGGGAUAACUUCAGGAAACUGGGGCUAAUACCGGAUAGGAGCUCCUGCUGCAUGGUGGGGGUUAGAAAGUUUCGGCGGUGGGGGAUGGACUCGCGGCUUAUCAGCUUGUUGGUGGGGUAGUGGCUUACCAAGGCGUUGACGGGUAGCCGGCCUGAGAGGGUGACCGGCCACAUUGGGACUGAGAUACGGCCCAGACUCCUACGGGAGGCAGCAGUGGGGAAUAUUGCACAAUGGGCGGAAGCCUGAUGCAGCGACGCCGCGUGCGGGAUGACGGCCUUCGGGUUGUAAACCGCUUUCGCCUGGGACGAAGCGUGAGUGACGGUAAUGGGUAAAGAAGCACCGGCUAACUACGUG
rnacentral:rRNA from 1 species